GCCUCCUGAAGAAUAUGAGGUAAGGCCUGCUCAGUGUUAAACAGCCGCAGUACCCUGACUGUGCAAAGGUAGCAUAAUCAAUUGCCUCUUAAUUGGUGGCUAGUAUGAAGGGCUAAACUGGCUAGAAGGUCUUAGCCCUUGAACUUAGGUUAGGGGUAAGAACACCUCUAUCAACCCCUAGGACGAGAAGACCCUAGGAGCUUCAAGUGGCUUUUGGUUGGGGCGACUAAAAAAGAUAAAGAACUUUAAAUUAGCUACCCUAGGGUUAACAGCGUUAUAUAAAGCUUGAGUACUCAUUGGGCUUUAAGCUUACGACCUCGAUGUUGAGUUAAGAAGUGCAGGGGCUUUAGUCUGUUCGACUAAUAACCACUUACA
rnacentral:rRNA from 1 species